rnacentral:rRNA from 1 species
GGCGUGCUUAACACAUGCAAGUCGAACGGUAACAGGAGAAGCUUGCUUCUUGCUGACGAGUGGCGCACGGGUGAGUAAUGCAUAGGUAACGUGCCCCUUAGUCUAGGAUAGCCACUGGAAACGGUGAUUAAUACUGGAUACUCCUUCUUCCUUAAUGGAAGUUGGGAAAGUUUUUCGCUAAGGGAUCGGCCUAUGUUGUAUCAGGUAGUUGGUGAGGUAAUGGCUCACCAAGCCUAUGACACAUAGCGGGUCUGAGAGGAUGAUCCGCCACACUGGUACUGAGACACGGACCAGACUCCUACGGGAGGCAGCAGUGGGGAAUAUUGCACAAUGGACGAAAGUCUGAUGCAGCAACGCCGCGUGGAGGAUGACACAUUUCGGUGCGUAAACUCCUUUUAUAUGAGAAGAUAAUGACGGUAUCAUAUGAAUAAGCACCGGCUAACUCCGUGCCAGCAGCCGCGGUAAUACGGAGGGUGCAAGCGUUAUUCGGAAUCACUGGGCGUAAAGGGUGCGUAGGCGGUUUGAUAAGUCUGAUGUGAAAUCCUAUGGCUCAACCAUAGAACUGCAUUGGAAACUGUCAAACUAGAAUACUGAAGGGGCAGAUGGAAUUAGUGGUGUAGGGGUAAAAUCCGUAGAUAUCACUAGGAAUACCGAAAGCGAAAGCGAUCUGCUGGGAAGUUAUUGACGCUGAGGCACGAAAGCGUGGGGGAGCAAACGGGAUUAGAUACUCCGGUAGUCCACGCCCUAAACGAUAAAUGCUAGUCGUCGGAAAGCUCGUCUUU